AGGGGGCAAACGAGUUAACACUCAACCCAAGGGGCAAACAUGCGUCAACAAAUAUUGUUGGCUUGCCCACUAAAGGGAGGAUUCAAGACAAAGAGACGGGUAAUUUAGUGACAUCCAAGAAACGCUGAGAGUGGCUCACCCAAGAGGGAGCAGAGAGCAGCCAGAAGAAGUUACUAAACAACAUCGACAAAAAGAGAAUAUCUACAGAUCCUCAUGUGCCAGAGCACUAGUUCCAAGGAGCCUACAGGCGCUCAAGGAUAAAUUUACUGGUCCUCCAAGAGAAGUAGCCUCCACGCCUCAA
rnacentral:lncRNA from 1 species